rnacentral:rRNA from 1 species
UCAACUUGGAUUUUGCAGUAGUUGCGAAUGAACACAAACUUGAUCACAUUGAUAAUCUUUGCAUGUUUUGUGCACAGRCAUGUUUGUUUUUGGCGCAAUGCUAUCAGAGCUGCACGCAAUUGUUUUUUKWWAGGAAACAACAUGGGAUGUGACAUUCAUGUAUGUGUGUGUGCUUUGUCCACAGCUUGUGCUUCUUGAGUCACAUUUCUUGCAACUGAAAUGCAAAUGGCAUGGKAAAGUUCAUGUGACAUGACACAUGAUUGAGAUUCAUGAUGUGCAAGUACCAUGAGGGAAAUGUGAAAAGGACUUUGGAAAGAGAAUUAAAGAAAGCCUGCAAUUGCUAGUCCUAAAAGCAAGUGAGAAUAUGUAUAACAAUGUUACUGCAUCAUUUAACGAUUUCCUUUGUUAUGUAUGUCUUCCAUUUCAAUAUCAGUUCACAAUCAUUGUGUGUACUAUCUUUGCUUCAAGUGCAUUAUUUAAAUGUAGUUGAAACUUUGUGUGAGCAUUGUGAGUGACACUAUGUAGACAUCAGUGUGAUCUACGUCUUGUCUGCUUUCACACAUGUGAUUUGCUUAUGUGGUUCCUCUGUGCACUACCUCA